rnacentral:rRNA from 1 species
CCUACGGGGUGCUGCAGUGAGGAAUAUUGGUCAAUGGGCGCGAGCCUGAACCAGCCAAGUCGCGUGAGGGAGGACGGCCCUACGGGUUGUAAACCUCUUUUGCCGGGGAGCAACGGGCGUCACGUGUGGCGCCCCUUAGAGUACCCGUAGAAAAAGCAUCGGCUAACUCCGUGCCAGCAGACGCGGUAAUACGGAGGAUGCGAGCGUUAUCCGGCUUUAUUGGGUUUAAAGGGAGCGUAGAUGGGUUGUUAAGUCAGUUGUGAAAGUUUGCGGCUCAACCGUAAAAUUGCAAUUGAUACUGGCAUCCUUGAGUACAGUAGAGGUAGGCGGAAUUCGUGGUGUAGCGGUGAAAUGCUUAGAUAUCACGAAGAACUCCGAUUGCGAAGGCAGCCUGCUGGACUGUAACUGACGCUGAUGCUCGAAAGUGUGGGUAUCAAACAGGAUUAGAUACCCCAGUAGUC